AUUAGAGGAAGUAAAAGUCGUAACAAGGUCUCCGUAGGUGAACCUGCGGAGGGAUCAUUACAAGUGACCCCGGUUUACCACCGGGAUGUUCAUAACCCUUUGUUGUCCGACUCUGUUGCCUCCGGGGCGACCCUGCCUUCGGGCGGGGGCUCCGGGUGGACACUUCAAACUCUUGCGUAACUUUGCAGUCUGAGUAAACUUAAUUAAUAAAUUAAAACUUUUAACAACGGAUCUCUUGGUUCUGGCAUCGAUGAAGAACGCAGCGAAAUGCGAUAAGUAAUGUGAAUUGCAGAAUUCAGUGAAUCAUCGAAUCUUUGAACGCACAUUGCGCCCCCUGGUAUUCCGGGGGGCAUGCCUGUUCGAGCGUCAUUUCACCACUCAAGCCUCGCUUGGUAUUGGGCAACGCGGUCCGCCGCGUGCCUCAAAUCGACCGGCUGGGUCUUCUGUCCCCUAAGCGUUGUGGAAACUAUUCGCUAAAGGGUGCUCGGGAGGCUACGCCGUAAAACAACCCCAUUUCU
rnacentral:rRNA from 1 species